UACGGAGGGUGCAAGCGUUAUCCGGAUUUACUGGGUUUAAAGGGUGCGUAGGUGGGCCUGUAAGUCAGUGGUGAAAUCUUCAAGCUUAACUUGGAAACUGCCAUUGAUACUAUAGGUCUUGAAUUAUCUGGAGGUAAGCGGAAUAUGUCAUGUAGCGGUGAAAUGCUUAGAGAUGACAUAGAACACCCAUUGCGAAGGCAGCUUACUACGGAUUGAUUGACACUGAGGCAUGAAAGCGUGGGGAUCAAACAGG
rnacentral:rRNA from 1 species